UUUUCUUUCGUUCAUUCUUUCAAGAACUUUUCAGCUCUUAAGAUAUCAAACAUUUCAAAAACUAGGGGAAAAAAGACAUAAUUGAAGAUGCAAUAAAUCAAGACAUCAUCACAAAAACCACACACCUUUACUCAUUUUAACCGCCGAAUUUCCUUUCUUCAUUUGUGAAACUGUGGCUGCUUUUUGAGUUAAACACGUUUACAGCACAAAGGAAGUUGGGCCCGUGAAUUAUAUCCAUAAUAGAAGAAAACAGGUUAGUUUGUUUACAUUAGUUUAAAAACAUUUCUAGAAGUUAUUGUGAAAAACUCAAGAGGGAAAUUAAAUCACAACACCCCUCCCCUCAGUCAAAAAAAGUGAAUGAUACCAAUAGAAAUGGCAAAAAUGUUGUUUCUGAAGGCAACGCUGACCUUUCAGUCCUGACAGUCAUAUGGUUUCAGUCAGCUGUUUGAUUUGAAGAUGUCGUUUUUCAAAAUAAAACCUUGAUCAAUUAAAAAAAAUCUUUCCGUUUAAAUAAGCGCAGUAUAUUUCACACGUUAUAUUUUGUUUUCUUGUUGUUUUUUUCUUCUUUCAAUCGCUGACAAGUUGCUGUCAAACUGUUAGCGUUGUGUAAUUGUGCAAUGUUUAUUCUGAAGGGCACAACCGGAAACGAAACGUUUAGCUAAAGCUAACUUCCUUCCUAGCAGCGCUAGCUAGACGCGAACAGGUACUUUAUCCCCGCUGCGUCGUCGGAGCAUCAUGUAAUACCUGGAAGGUGUCGGUGAGGUCCGACUCGGUUCGUGAACCCGUUAGUUUUUGUUACAGCCGGCUUUAGCUUUGGUUUCCGACUCGGUUUCUUCUUCGUUCCACUUAAGUCCUGUAGCUAGGGUUCCGGUUCAAACGUUGUGAUGUCGGAUGCUUUCUGACCCUGCUGAAGCAAACGCAGCACCACAAGGGUGUGGAGUUCAGUUAUGGAUCAGAAUCAUUGAUUAAGCCUGAUGACGUCAGGGGGUUGAGUGAAGCAGGCAAGAGACAGCGGGAGAUGGGGCAGUGCAGCAGUGUUUACUAAAACAGGAGGUCUCAAUGGUCUCCCCCACCGUGAAGGCUGUGGUGGAUGCUGUCUGGGCCGUGUGGAGCAUCGGGGCCUCCAUCUAUGACUACAUCCACACCAAAGCCAUGGAGGAGCGCAUUCACACCCUGGAGAACAUCAUCACCGUCCACCAGUGUGUGAUCGGGCUGCUGUCGGCGGGCGUGCUGGCGCUCUUCACAUACAUCCUCUUCAGGAAGCUCUAAAGCAGAAGAUCUGGAGCUCCACAUGAGGGGUUAACGAUGGGUGCAUUGAAGGAGGUUGGGUUUAUGUGUCGGUGGGCUUUCAGGACUCAUCGAUCCUACGAUGAGAAACUCAUCUGCACUUUUGUUUGUUGAAGUGGUUUGAAGGGAGGAGGAUCUGGUGAAAUGGGACAUGAAUGUUUUAUUUCAUCACUUGUUGCUGCAAAGCACUUUCACCUAAAUAUGGCCGCUGCAGCAAUAACUAACCAUAUUCCCAGAUCCUCCACUGAAAGGUGAUGAUAGAAAUUGAGUCACUAACAUGCACUACAAGCACUAAUAGGUCCCAGCUGGUGGUCUUCUCUAGACUGGACCAAAACGACUAAAACUCCACAAUUCCUCAGGAUAAGUCCUGGAUGGAAGCAGCAUAAAUAAAUACAAUUUCCUCCUUUUUUUACAUCAUUGAUGUGCCGCACGGUUUUAUCAGUCAGUGAUGUGUGACAGAUCGUAGAUGCAGCAUUUAUUCACUCAUUUCAUUAUUUUCAUUUAUACACCAAACACCAUUUAGAAGGUGGACAUCAUGAGUAUUACUCCAGGUUUUCUAGGCUGAAGCUGUUUACACACCUGAAUCAUUCUCGGGUAAUAAUCUGAUAUGACAGAGCUUACGUCAUCACUUUUUGCAGAACACACUAUACUUUAAAUACUGUUAGUUUUUACACCAAAAUGUAUUAGAUGAUGUGUUUUUUAUCUACUUUGACUCACUCUGCAGCCUGAUCAGUCUUCUGUAGACUGUUAAUGAGUCAGGCUUCUAUGAGUAAUAUUAAGUCCUUAAUAGGGAUAUGUAUUUUUGAAAUUCUGGCGAUACGAUACAUAUCACGAUGCAGGGGAGAUGAUACGAUACAUCACGAUAUAUUGCGAUACAUUCAGUCAGACGUAACAAGCAAUUUUUUUUACUGAAUUUAUUGUAAGAACGUUCAAUAAACAGUCCAAACUGAUACGUAACAUGUUUAACAUGAGGUAUCUGAACCAUGAUGGAGGGAUUUACAUUUCAAUGGUGGAAACAAAACCCGCUGCACACUGCUGCUAACUAGCGGGUGGCGAUUGAAUUGCGCAAAACGAAAAGAAAAUACACCAAAGUUUGCAUGUAAAUUCCAGUGUUGGGAGUAACGUGGUACAAAGGUAAUUAAUUACUGUAAUGCAUUGCUUUUUGCUGUAAUGUGGUAAUGUAAGGCAUUACAGGGAAAGAAAAUGGUAAUAUUUACUCGGUACAAUUGUCAGUAACGUGGUAAUUACGAUGCAUUUUUAAACCCAGAAUCAAGCUGCGUUUCUUAAAAAUUCAAAUUGCGGGAAACCCGAAAAAAGAUCCAGUAUCUGCAUAUAUGAUGUCAUUUAUGGACUCAGCUUUGCAGGCAGAGAGGACGCAGCGGUAACGGCUCAAAUACUCCAGCUGCGUCCUCCUUGCGGCCGCUGUAACAUUCACAAAAUCGCUCCACUAAAACAAAAUAAUUCACUUGCGAUCGUUCAUCAGCGCAUGUUCUCUGGUAUUCUGUGCUUUUCUGACGUGCUUUGCCUCAGCUGAGUUAAUCUGGGCCCCGGUGAUUUCAACUCAUUGCUGCUGGAGCGCCACGCAUGUGUAGAUCCCUUUGGCUGACUAGUUAGAAAGUAGGAAAUCUAGGAAAUGGUUUUUCUGGAAGACGGAGAAAACAUGCAGCAUGCAGGAAGGUUAGAGAGAGAAAGGGCCGGAAAUGAUUCAAAUAAAAUCAAGAAAACAAAACAAAGGGCUUGAAAAGAAAAAAGUAGGUAGAUUUAUUCCCAAUACACAUUUUUACCAGUGAAAAGCAAUAAUAUAUAAGCAUUUAAUAUUUAUACAUGUGAUAGAAUCAGAUCACCCCAGAAGUCAGUCCCACAUCCAGGGCCGUAUCAAGGCAUUUGGGGACCAAGGCAAAUAUAGGCUUGGAGCCCCCACCACCUCACUCCCUGCUCAGUUAAUCUAAGAUGGCAGCGUGCUGAGAGUACAGAUUGUUGUUGCUUUUAUUUCAUAAACAAUCCUUCUAAAGAACUGUUUUUAACAGCAAUCCUAGCUCAGACAUCACAUCACCUUCCACUGGAUGUGUCAUGAGUUCACCAGGUAUCAGAUUACCAAACUCCUACUGAAGUUGUUUUGUUGAAAGUAACUUAGAGUAAUGCAAAAGUAGUGUAAUGCCUUACAUUUUAAAAUCAGUAAUAUUGUAAUGUAAUGAAUUACUUUAAAAUGAGGGUAACAAGUAAUAAAUAAUGUAUUACAGUUUUGAAGUAACUUGCCCAACACUGGUAAAUUCUUUGAGGAAUUAGAUACACGGCUUUUGAAUAUCGAUGUAAUAAUCGCAGGAACAAAUAUCACGAUAUAUUGCCAUAUCGAUAUUUUCUUACAUCCCUAGUCCUUAAGGACUUCUAUUGACAAAAUGUCCUUUUAGUUACCUUAUUUAGAUGCUAGCAACUGGGUAGUUGUUUCUUUUGAAGGAAAGUUUUCAUCACUUAACAUCAUCAUUAGUCUUUGUGAUGAAUAUUUUGAGUUUUAUGAGGAUCAGAUGGAGGAAAGCUCUCAGGAGCGGGGGUUGGUUUAAUAAUACUGUAACAGGAUGUAAUGUUAUACCUCUGUGCAAAUGUCACUGCUCAUUCAAGUGUCCUUAAGCCUGUGAAUCUGUAGCUAACAGAUGUUUAUUAGUGCUGCUGCUCGGUUUGAUUGUUUCUUCACAAGAGGCUCUGAUUUCAGUGAGAAUACUGUUGACUAACGCUGGUUAGGUCUGUUUACUCUGUCAGUGAGAACUCCACGUGUUCAUCUCAAUAAAUGUCAUGUUGCUGAGGGACCGUCACCAUAGAAACAA